CUGACGGGACACGGUGGGUCGAUAUAGGUGUAAAGGCCCUGGCACCCCUUAAGAGCAAGGCCAAGAGGGGUGCCCGUGUCACCGUCAG
rfam:Archaeoglobus profundus DSM 5631, complete genome.